GUUAUAAACGGGCAUGUACCGAUAGCACGUUAUCAAUUAAUAAAAUUUUGUUUUAUGACAAUCAAUUCCAAAUCCUAAUUUUCCUAAUGCAUCGAUCUUUGCCUUUUUUAAGUAGUUAUUUUGAUAGGGAGGGUUUAGCCACGAAAAUCAUCCCUCCAUCGUCGGCUGCAUCCCUCACCCACGUCGCUGUUGCAGGAUCUUCAUCCGUCAUCCUGAGCAAUUGGGGCGGCGAUGCGGGCGAGCUUCACGAUAGUGGGGAGGACCAGGCCGCGGUGAAGGCAGGUCAUGCGCUCCUCACGCUCCACGAACGGAACCUGCGCACGGAGGCGGUAGCGCGGGGUGGCAGCCGGCAAUGAGGCGGCCGCGCUACGUGACGAGCUACGGGUCCCCCUUUGUGAUGUUUUGGCAUCGCUCCUUCAUCGCACAUCCUCAGGUACGUCAAUUCACUUCCUUCCCUUCCCUUCGUCCCUCGGUCCCACGCUCGUGGCGCUGAAGUGGUGGCAACAGGCGAUGGCGGUGGUGUCGCUGAUGGCGGCGAGGACAGCAUGUGGCAGCUCCCGAAGCAUGAACACGACCGCACCUCGGGCCUGCCGUCUGCCAAGAUAUGGCUCUGGCCGAUUGACAAUGGAGGUUUGGGAUCCUUCCUCUCAGCACCCACUCCUGGAAGAAUCAGCGGUGCGCCACGCCGAUUGAACCCCGUCGAGAUCACUCGCCAAGAUUGCUAUUCUGAAGUUUAUUGUAAAGAAAGUGAAGAGUGAGACAGGAUCCGUUUAUUUUCAACCGGUUUAUUUUCAACCGGUUUAUUUCCAUCAAAUUACCCCCACCCCCACGCCCACCCACCGAAACGCGCCCAGCGAACCGGGGAGAGAUCCAUUGAUUUGGCUAAGGUA